rnacentral:rRNA from 1 species
GACGAACGCUGGCGGCGUGCCUAAUACAUGCAAGUAGAACGCUGAAGAGAGGAGCUUGCUCUUCUUGGAUGAGUUGCGAACGGGUGAGUAACGCGUAGGUAACCUGCCUUGUAGCGGGGGAUAACUAUUGGAAACGAUAGCUAAUACCGCAUAACAAUGGAUGACCCAUGUCAUUUAUUUGAAAGGGGCAAAUGCUCCACUACAAGAUGGACCUGCGUUGUAUUAGCUAGUAGGUGAGGUAACGGCUCACCUAGGCGACGAUACAUAGCCGACCUGAGAGGGGGGUCGGCCACACUGGGACUGGGACACGGCCCAGACUCCUACGGGGGGCAGCCGUAGGGAAUCGUCGGCCAUGGGGGCAACCCUGACCGAGCACCGCCGCGUGAGUGAAGAAGGUUUUCGGAUCGUAAAGCUCUGUUGUAAGUCAAGAACGAGUGUGAGAGUGGAAAGUUCACACUGUGACGGUAGCUUACCAGAAAGGGACGGCUAACUACGUG